rnacentral:rRNA from 1 species
CCCGGUAGUGGGGGAUAACCUGGGGAAACCCAGGCUAAUACCGCAUACGUCCUACGGGAGAAAGCAGGGGAUCUUCGGACCUUGCGCUAUCGGAUGAGCCUAUGUCGGAUUAGCUAGUUGGUGAGGUAAUGGCUCACCAAGGCUGCGAUCCGUAGCUGGUCUGAGAGGAUGAUCAGCCACAUCGGGACUGAGACACGGCCCGAACUCCUACGGGAGGCAGCAGUGGGGAAUAUUGGACAAUGGGCGAAAGCCUGAUCCAGCCAUGCCGCGUGUGUGAAGAAGGCCUUCGGGUUGUAAAGCACUUUCAGUGAGGAAGAAGGCCUUGAGGUUAAUACCCUCGAGGAAGGACAUCACUCACAGAAGAAGCACCGGCUAACUCCGUGCCAGCAGCCGCGGUAAUACGGAGGGUGCGAGCGUUAAUCGGAAUUACUGGGCGUAAAGCGCGCGUAGGCGGCUUGAUAAGCCGGUUGUGAAAGCCCCGGGCUCAACCUGGGAACGGCAUCCGGAACUGUCAGGCUAGAGUGCAGGAGAGGAAGGUAGAAUUCCCGGUGUAGCGGUGAAAUGCGUAGAGAUCGGGAGGAAUACCAGUGGCGAAGGCGGCCUUCUGGACUGACACUGACGCUGAGGUGCGAAAGCGUGGGUAGCAAACAGGAUUAGAUACCCUGGUAGUCCACGCCGUAAACGAUGUCGACUAGCCGUUGGGCUCCUUGAGAGCUUUGUGGCGCAGUUAACGCGAUAAGUCGACCGCCUGGGGAGUACGGCCGCAAGGUUAAAACUCAAAUGAAUUGACGGGGGCCCGCACAAGCGGUGGAGCAUGUGGUUUAAUUCGAUGCAACGCGAAGAACCUUACCUACCCUUGACAUCGAGAGAACUUUCCAGAGAUGGAUUGGUGCCUUCGGGAACUCUCAGACAGGUGCUGCAUGGCUGUCGUCAGCUCGUGUUGUGAAAUGUUGGGUUAAGUCCCGUAACGAGCGCAACCCCUUGUCCCUAUGUGCCAGCGAUUCGGUCGGGAACUCUUAGGGAGACUGCCGGGGACAAACCCGGAGGAAGGUGGGGACGACGUCAAGUCAUCAUGGCCCUUACGGGUAGGGCUACAC